rnacentral:rRNA from 1 species
AGCGGGAAGAGCUCAGGUUGAAAUCCCUCGGGAGUUGUAACCUGUAGGCCCAGUGCUCCAUCCGACGCGGGUGCAAGUCCUCACGAACGAGGCGCCAGGGAGGGUGAUAGCCCCGUCCCGCCCGCGAAAGUGUCAGAGCCCGGUGCCGACGAGUCGGGAUGCUUGGGAAUGCAUCCCUAAGUGGGUGGUAAGUCCCAUCUAAAGCUAAAUACGGGCAAGAGACCGAUAGCGAACAAGUACUGUGAAGGAAAGAUGAAAAGCGCUUUGAAAAGAAGGUUAAAAGAGCUUGAAAUUGCUGAAACGGAAGUGAUUGGCCCCAGUACGGCGCCCAGGUCCUCUAUGGUCCAGGCGCCGGUCAGCAUCGGCUGCUGCUGCGUGAAAGCGCCUUGAGGAAGGUGACGUGGCCCCGCUCCGGCGGGUUCCCGCGUGUUACAGCCUCGAGGAUCGCGGCGCGGCGGCGGCCGAGGGAAGCGCGCAGCUCCACGGAUCAUCCGCGCUGCGCGAAGAUGCUGACGAAAUGGGUUCCAUCAGCCCGUCUUGAAACACGGACCAAGGAGUCUGACAUGUGUGCGAGUACUCCGGUGGAAAACCGCUGUGCGCAAUGAAAGUAUUCAGAUGGGACCUUCGGGGCACCAUCGGCCGGUCUGCAACGCCACGGCUUGCGGGCUGCGCCAGAGCAGAUAUGUUGGGACCCGAAAGAUGGUGAACUAUGCCUGGGUAGGGCGAAGCCAGGGGAAACCCUGGUGGAGGCUCGAAGCGAUUCUGACGUGCAAAUCGAUCGUCAAACCUGGGUAUAGGGGCGAAAGACUAAUCGAACCAUCUAGUAGCUGGUUCCCUCCGAAAUUUCCCUUAGGAUAGCUGCAACUGAAUCCAGUUUUAUCAGGUAAAGCGAAUGAUUAGAGGAUUCAGGGCCGGAAUGGCCUUGACCUAUUCUCAAACUUUAAAUGGGUAAGAAGGGCCGCCUUUCUUGACUGAAGGCGGCCCGCGAAUGGAAGUUGUUAGUGGGCCAUAGCAGGUAAGCUGCUCUGGCGAUGCGGGAUGAACCGAACGUGGUGUUAAAGCGCCGGACUGUCCGCUCAUCAGAUCCCAC